UGUGGCUGGUGGACCUGGACGCGCUGCCCCGGCUGCCGGGGCCCCUGCGGGUCCUGGCCGGGUUCGACGCCCGGGACCACUUC
rnacentral:tRNA from 1 species